CCCUUAGAUGUUCUGGACCGCACGCGCGCUACACUGAUGCAUUCAACGAGUUACCUUGGCCGAGAGGCCUGGGCAAUCUUUUGAACGUGCAUCGUGAUAGGGAUAGAUUAUUGCAAUUAUUAAUCUUGAACGAGGAAUUCCUAGUAAACGCAGUUCAUCAAACUGCAUUGAUUACGUCCCUGCCCUUUGUACACACCGCCCGUCGCACCUACCGAUUGGAUGGUCCGGUGAAGCCUCGGGAUUGUGGCCAGUGCCUUUUUGGUUUUGGUUGCGAGAACUUGUCUAAACCUUAUCAUCUAGAGGAAGGUGAAGUCGUAACA
rnacentral:rRNA from 1 species